GCGCCGAGCAGGACGCCGGCGGGGGCGGCCUGCUGUGCGUGAACGUGCUCCGCCAGGACCGCGGCGCCGCGCUGACCACCGGGGGCAGCAGAGAGUCCAGGGAGUGCAGAGAUCUGCUGCUACAGACCCUUCUGAGUGGAGAUGUUGUGAAAUUGCUGAAGUUGUCUUUCAUCACAGCCCAUCCCAUAUCCUCCCAAGACCUCAGACAGCAAGCAGGGUUAAGGCUCAAAGAAAUGAAGGAACAAAGGCAUCAUUUAUCUGUGGAGGCAACUAAAUCUUAUUACGAGGCUGGACUCUCCAGACUUGUGAAAGAAUAUUGUACUCGCUUCCAGAUCAUCAACAAGGACCAGUGCGACCAUCUCUUACAGUGGGUGAAAGCAGGGACGUAUUUGGAUAAAAAUACUGAAGAGUAUAAAGAAAUACUGGACCUUCUUAAAAAAUGAGAAAUA
rnacentral:lncRNA from 1 species